GUGGAGAGAGGUGAAGUGACUUGCUCAACAUCACACAGUUGCCUUCCCACGUGUGUGAGACCAUUGCUGUGGAAAGAAGCCGGGCCUGACUUCAGGGAUCUGGUGUGAAAUGACUGGACCCAUGCGUUCUGAGUAAACAAGAGAGCCCCUUCUGGCUUCUCCGGGAGGAACCAAAUGGCUUCAGCAUUCAGCUCCAAAGCCCGAUGGAGACCAAGAGUGAUACACUGUACUCAUGAUCAACUGCUCAGUUCUGGUUUGGGCCUCUGAGGGCUGAUGGGGUUUGGCAGAACCUCCAGCACAAUGUUGAAUGGAAAUGGUGAUAGUGGGCAUCUUGUCUUGUACCCAGUCUCACUAUGUGGAAGCUUCACUAUUUCACAAUGAAGGCCCAGCACGGUGACUCAAACCUGUAAUCCCAGCACUUUGGAGGGCUGAGGCAAGUGGAUCACCUGAGAUCAGGAGUUCAAGACCAG
rnacentral:lncRNA from 1 species